rnacentral:rRNA from 1 species
GGGUGUUGCGCAUACCCGAAGGCCGAGUGAACGCGAGAGGCGGCGACUCAGGUCGCCGUCGUUUGCGGCGAGAUCCUGUCUUUGGCGCGCGCUCUUGCGAGUGUGCCCAUUGUGGAGGCAGGCGCAUCGCCGGCCCGUCGAAUGCGGUUACGAGCCGCCGACCGGAGCUAGAGCGCGCACGUUGGGACCCGAAAGAUGGUGAACUAUGCCUGGGCAGGAUGAAGCCAGGGGAAACCCUGGUGGAGGUCCGUAGCGAUUCUGACGUGCAAAUCGAUCGUCUGACCUGGGUAUAGGGGCGAAAGACUAAUCGAACCAUCUAAUAGCUGGUUCCCUCCGAAGUUUCCCUCAGGAUAGCUGGCGCUCGUACCCAGGCAGUCUCUCCCGGUAAAGCGAAUGAUUAGAGGCCUUGGGAUCGAAACGAUCUCAACCUAUUCUCAAACUUUAAAUGGGUGAGAAGUCCGGCUUACUUGACUUGCGCGUUCGCGCGCUGAAGUCCGGACCGAUAUUUUUCAUCAGGAUGCCUGAGUGCCAAGUGGGCCAUUUUUGGUAAGCAGAACUGGCGCUGUGGGAUGAACCGAACGUCGAGUUACGGCGCCCGAGUGAAACGCUCAUCAGAUCCCGUAAAAGGUGUUGGUUGCUAUAGACAGCAGGACGGUGGCCAUGGAAGUCGGAAUCCGCUAAGGAGUGUGUAACAACUCACCUGCCGAAGCAACUAGCCCUGAAAAUGGAUGGCGCUCGAGCGUUCCGCCUAUACUCGACCGUUGCGGCACGCGCGCUUCUGGCGCGUGCGAAUCAAGCCGCAACGAGUAGGAGGGUCGCGGCGGUAUGCGUCGAAGGGUUAGCGGCGCGAGCCGGCCUGGAGCUGCCGCCGGUGCAGAUCUUGGUGGUAGUAGCAAAUACUCAAGCGAGAACCUUGAGGACUGAAGUGGAGAAGGCUUCCAUGUGAACAGCAGUUGAACAUGGGUCAGUCGAUCCUAAGGCAUCGGCGAAAGCCGUUCAGACGCGGUGUCGAGCUUUUGGCGGCGUGCGCUUGCGCGCGUCGCUGGCUGUGUGCGCUUCGCGCGUGCACGGUGGCCGCACCUGCCGAAAGGGAGUCGGGUUAAUAUUCCCGAACCCGGCAGCGGAGACUGGCCGCUCAUUCGGCUGCAGCGGCCCUAGCGCCGCUGUUGUCCGGGGCGGCUCACUGCGGCGACGCAAACGAACCUGGAUACGCCGGCCGGCGCCCUGGGAAGAGUUGUCUUUUCUUCAUAAGGGGCCGACUGCCUGGAAUCGGUUCAGCCGGAGAUAGGCAGGUGGCACCCGAAAAGCACCGCGGCUCUUGCGGUGUCCGGUGCGUGCCGGUCGGUCCGUGAAAAUCCGGGGGAGAGAAUGAUUUUCGUGCCGGAUCGUACCG